rnacentral:rRNA from 1 species
UACGGGGGGAGCAAGCGUUGUUCGGAUUUACUGGGCGUAAAGGGCGCGUAGGCGGUCGUGACAAGUCACUUGUGAAAUCUCCGGGCUUAACUCGGAACGGUCAAGUGAUACUGUCGGACUAGAGUACAGAAGGGGCAACUGGAAUUCUCGGUGUAGCGGUGAAAUGCGUAGAUAUCGAGAGGAACACCUGCGACGAAGGCGGGUUGCUGGGCUGAUACUGACGCUGAGGCGCGAAAGCCAGGGGAGCGAACGGG